GUGCCCGUAACUCAGUGGUAGAGUGUGAGAUUGCAAUCGCCCGAAUCUCUAUUCCAGAGGCGUAAUCUCGAAGCCGCGUGUUCGAACCACGCCGGGCACU